rnacentral:rRNA from 1 species
CCUGGCUCAGGAUGAACGCUGGCGGCGUGCUUAACACAUGCAAGUCGACUGCAUUUAGAUGCAGGGCGAACGGGUGAGUAACGCGUCACUAUCUGCCCUCAAGCCGAGGAUAACCCGUUGAAAGACGGAAUAAUACUCGAUAGUAUCCGAUGUAAUAUUCGGGUUAAAGAUUUAUUACUUGAGGAGGAAGUGGCGUCCUACCAGCUUGUUGGUGGGGUAAUGGCCUACCAAGGCAACGACGGGUAGCUGGUCUGAGAGGAUGAUCAGCCMCAAYGGGACUGAGACACGGCCCAUACUCCUACGGGAGGCAGCAGUUGGGAAUCGUACSCAAUGGGCGAAAGCCUGACGUCGCGACGCCGCGUGGAGGAAGACGCAKUUCGGUGUGUA